rnacentral:rRNA from 1 species
CGUGUGGGCGGUUUGGUAGGUCCGCUGUGAAAACUCGAGGCUCAACCUCGAGACGCCGGUGGAAACCAUCAGACUAGAGUCCGGAAGAGGAGAGUGGAAUUCCUGGUGUAGCGGUGAAAUGCGCAGAUAUCAGGAAGAACACCCGUGGCUAAGGCGGCUCUCUAGUACGGUACUGACGCUGAGACGCGAAAGCGUGGGGAGCGAACA